UGGGAGAAAGGGAGGUGGUCUCCUCUUCCUCCACUUCCUCCUCUUCCUCAUCUUCCACAAUGGAUGGGAGUCUCUUCUUGAUGCUUCCAUUCCCCUUGGGCUCUGCCUAGAUCAAUGGAUACAACAGAUUAGUACAAGUUGCCGAGACUUCCCAAGAGGCAGGACACUCCUGUCAGAGGUGGUACUGAUAAAGAUCAAAUUCCUUAGAGGCUGGUAAACUUUUGCAUGCUGCAAUCUUACUAUCAAGUUUUAAAGGGCUCCCAGUUUUCAUGCCUGAUCUCCUGGUUUUAACCCCAAUCAUUCCCUUGGUCUUUAACAAUAUCUGUGAGGAGAGCUGUGUAAAAGAUGGAUUGUAUAUACUUCACUCCCUAAAUUUUACUCAGCUACACACUCAUAGUCAUAGAUGGCAUUCCCUUUGGGAAUAUGAACAUGUUCCUUUUAUUGCACAGUCUUGGGUCUCAUGAUUUAAAACUUCAAUAUCUUUAAGGGGAAUGUGAACUUCAGCAUUGCAUGAUACUUGGGAAUGAAAGUGUCUUUAUCUAUUUCAGACCUCAUGGAUGGAAAAACGAAGCAUCCUCAGCUUUCUUGCUUCCAGCUCCCUGUUCUUUGAUGUCAUUAACAAGACAGAGUGUAGGGCUUGUGGGACCUUGCUACCAGACAGGCAUGAGAGUGAUUCCAUCAUGAAGCUGAACUAUCAAGGACUUGACUACUUUAAAGGGAAGGAAACACAUCUUCAUGGGACCGUCAGGUGGACCACUCAUUCUCUACAGCCGUCAGUUGCCAAGGAUGGCUUGUUUGAAAAUAUGGCAUAACGGAUUAAACAGCUCCACAUGGUGUUUUGAAAUUCAUUCCAACUGUAGGCUGAGUGACCUGGAGGUUAGAGAGAUGGCCAAAUUCCAGAAGCUUCAGCAUUUCCUUGGUGUCACAAUCUACCUCAAUCAUCUCCUGAUCUAGGGCUGAGACCUCAGGAACAUAAUUAUUUCUCCUCUCUCUCUUCUUCCUGCAACUUGAUAGAGAUACCUCUCACAGGACUUUUCUGAAUCCGCCUCCUCAGAUGCGUGACGUAGCAGGCUAUCAAAGGAUUUCCGAAGGAUUUUGCUGGGGAUGAUGGCAAUCUUCUCGCACAUGCACUUGGUGUGGAAGUCAUUACCCAGGCAUGUGCAGUACUUUUCUAUGAUGACCUGGGCCGCCUUCUUCACAGUCUUGGUGUGAACAUGGCCCAUGUUGUUGGGUCUUGGUAAAAGAGGAAACAGGAAGCACCCUCCCUGAGAGACUUAAGUGGGGUGUAAACACACAGUAAAGUGACAUCAGUGGAAACCCUUCAUUUAGACAGUGGAAACUCUGUGAGGCCCUUCUGUUCACUGCCUCCCUCUGCCCACAAUGUUCAGCAUUCCUGUCACAGGUGACAGAGAGAUGAUGUCCAGUUCUCUUGCAGAGAGAGAGAGAGAGAGAGAGAGAGAGAGAGAGAGAGAGAGAGAGAGAGAGAGAGAGAGAAGCAUCUGUACUCUUGUACUCUGUAGGCUUGCUGCGCAUCACAUUGGCUUCCUCAUUCACAAAAGAUUCUCACGUAGAAUUGAAAUUGGAAAAAUGGUCCUUGCAGUGUUGCAUUUGUGAAGCAUACUGUCUGUAUCAAGAGCAGAUCAUGCCCACAAGUAUCAAUUAUAUUUUACUGAUAUGUCAACUAUAAACUAAAUUUUGGUUAAUGUGUGGAAUGGGGCAUUAUGGCAUUUUACAUCAUCAACUGAGCUAGGUCACAGUUACCUUAGCAUUAAUUUGGGCUUCUUCAACUUGAAAUAAAUACAAGAGCCCUUCACAAAUCAGCCAUAUUCUUCUUACAUGCAGGUUCCCACCAAAUCACCCUUCUGGACAAAGGGUUGGUAUUCAACACCGAAGAGCAAUGGUUGUCUGCAUAAUACCAAAUGGAGGCUUUCAUAUAACAAAAUGACUUCACUUUGUAAUGUUAUUUGUCUCAACUCUAUUAUAUUUAUUUCCCACUUAAAAAUGAAGACAGACGUUGGGCAUUAUAGCACAUGCCUUAAAUCCCAGAAAUCAUGAAGUAGAGGCAGGUGGAUACCUGGUCUACAUAGUUCUAAGACAUCCAGAGCUACAAAAUGAGACUUUGCAUCAAAAAGAAAAGAAAAAAGAAAAAUGAAAAUAAGGAAGAAAAUCAAAGAAAAGAAAGAAAGACAGGUUUAAAUGUCCAUAGACACACAACAUUAGUUAGACCUUGAAACUAGGCACAAAUUAAUUCAAGCAUGCAUAUUUCUAAAUUCAACUGUAAGAAAUAUAAUGUUUCAGUCUAAACGGCUCCGAAAAAAAAAGAAAAAAAAGUCAUUCUUUAUACUUAUUUAAAAGCUUGGGAAAAGAGGACGGUUUUAGAAAGAAAGUGUUAUAAAAAUUGUGGUUCAUGUCAUUAUCGAAUGAAGAAUAGAAACACACAGUUACAUUAAAUAAUUUGGUAGAAAUUACUCAGGAAUGAUCCAUGGGUUUUAAAGAUUUCAAGCUUGAGAAGCUGAUUCUCAAAUCUCUGAUUUGAGAGAUAAGCAGCUUGAGUCAUCUAACGAAAAAUGUACCACUUAAAAUAACUGUUCAACUGACUCCCUCGCCCCCAGAGAACGGCUUCUGAUCAGGCUACAGUGGUCCCUGGUUAGUCGGUAUAGUCAGACCCUCUCAUGGUAAGGAAGCCCCAGAGCAGGGUUCAUAAGGCAUUCAGGAUACCCUCUGAGAAUUUACCUUCGGAGCCAAUCAGUUAAACAAGAGCCUGGUCUGAUGUGAGAAAUCUAUACACUCACCUCCCAGUGGUUCUCUCAAUAUUAAUAUAGAACGGAAAGCAGAGUGUGCCGCCCAGGAAGCCAAUUACACAGUGAACGGGAGAGCUGUACCAUUCUGUGUGUCGAAGACUGUUGGAGUCGGCAGAUUGAAAGGGGGCUCUUGCUUAUUUGGAUUAAAUGGUAGAUGUCACUUAGCCACAAAGAAGUUGUCAUAGAAGGUAACUGGCAUGCUCUACAUGACGAAUGCAUAUGUAUGUUUGCUUUAAACAAUUCCCGGAACUGUGAGCCUGAAGAAGUUCCUUUACACUUUCCCCAGAGACCCAGUGGUUCCUGGGACAGGAACCCUCAUGGUUAGCAUGAUGUAAAGCUCUUAAGGGAAGCGUUGUUCUAUUCCGGGUGAUGACACACAUAUAUGAUUUGGAAAAUAAUUAUUGGCUAAUUACAUCUUGGUUAAAAUGCGUGAGAAAGUUUUCAAUAAGAUUAUAAGACAAUGAAAUUUAGGAUGAACCAUACCUGCUGUGGUAUUUAUACUUUCCCACUGGGCCUUAACGAUGGAAGUUGCUAGACUAAAAUAAUUAUAUCAUAAAAUACACCUGACACAUUUUUAAUUUUCGCCCAGGGUCUCUUUCCCAAUAAUAUCUCCACUUAUACCACUUUCUUUAUGGGAGAAAAUAAAAUUCGUCUUCCAGUUCUUCA